UACGUAGGGUGCGAGCGUUUGUCCGGAAUUACUGGGCGUAAAGAGCUCGUAGGUGGUUUGUCGCGUUGUUCGUGAAAACUCACAGCUCAACUGUGGGCGUGCGGGCGAUACGGGCAGACUGGAGUACUGCAGGGGAGACUGGAAUUCCUGGUGUAGCGGUGGAAUGCGCAGAUAUCAGGAGGAACACCGAUGGCGAAGGCAGAUCUCUGGGCCGUAACUGACGCUGAGGAGCGAAAGCGUGGGGAGCGAACAGG
rnacentral:rRNA from 1 species